CCACGCCCAACUUUAUGGCUGCCUCCUCCGGACGACCAUGCGAAGAUUAACGUCGACGCGGCAGUCUCACGCGCUGGCCGUUUUGGGGCAGUGGGAGAGAUCUGCCGUGAUAGCACAGGGGAGUUCAAGGGUGCAUCCGCAAUCAUUUUCAGAAACAUCGAAGACCCAGAGGUUUUGGAGGUCCUAGCCAUCAGAGAAGCACUGGCGCUAGCUGAUGACUUAUAUGAGCAGAGAAUUUUCGUUGCGUCCGACUGCAGGACUGUUGUUGAAGCAAUCUAA
rnacentral:rRNA from 1 species